GUUGGAUAUGGGUCUCGGUCGGGUGGUGCCGCCUCACGGUGGUCACUGCCUCGAUCGGACAAUUCAUUGGAUCGUUCGGGGUGCUCUUAACCGAGUGUCCUGGGUGGCCGAUACGUUUACUUUGAACAAAUUAGAGUGCUUAAAGCAGGUGCACCGCGCCUGAAUAUCACAGCAUGGAAUGAUGGAAUAGGACCUCGGUCUUAUUAUGUUGGUUUUCUGGACUUGAGGUAAUGGUUAACAGAGACAGACGGGGGCAUUCGUACUGCGACGCUAGAGGUGAAAUUCUUGGACCGUCGCAAGACGAACAACUGCGAAAGCAUUUGCCAAGAAUGUUUUCAUUAAUCAAGAACGAAAGUUAGAGGUUCGAAGGCGAUCAGAUACCGCCCUAGUUCUAACCAUAAACGAUGCCAACCA
rnacentral:rRNA from 1 species